UACGUAGGGUGCAAGCGUUAAUCGGAAUUACUGGGCGUAAAGCGUGCGCAGGCGGUUGUGCAAGACCGAUGUGAAAUCCCCGGGCUUAACCUGGGAAUGGCAUUGGUGACUGCACGGCUAGAGUGUGUCAGAGGGGGGUAGAAUUCCACGUGUAGCAGUGAAAUGCGUAGAGAUGUGGAGGAAUACCGAUGGCGAAGGCAGCCCCCUGGGUCAAAACUGACGCUCAUGCACGAAAGCGUGGGGAGCAAACAGG
rnacentral:rRNA from 1 species